UACGUAGGGUCCGAGCGUUUGUUCCGGGAAUUACUGGGCGUAAAGGAGCUCGUAGGCGGUUUGAUCGCCGUCUGGCUGUGAAAACUGGGGGCUCAACCCCCAGCCCUGCAGUGGGUACGGGCAGACGUAGAGUGCGGUAGGGGAGAUUGGAAAUUCCUGGUGUAGCGGUGAAUGCGCAGAUAUCAGGAGGACACCGAUGGCGAAGGCAGAUCUCUGGGCCGUAACUGACGCUGAGGAGCGAAAGCAUGGGGAGCGAACAGGA
rnacentral:rRNA from 1 species